AAGAAAAUUUGGCAGAUGCUCAAGCUCCGAAGUUUCUGGUGAUCGCUUGUGCAGACUCUAGGGUUUGUCCUUCUACUGUCCUGGGAUUCCAACCGGGUGAUGCAUUCACUGUUCGCAACAUUGCAAAUUUAGUACCUUCAUAUGAGUCGGGACCUACUGAAACCAAAGCUGCUCUAGAGUUCUCUGUGAAUACUCUUAAUGUAAGCA